CAAUUUGAUGGAGUUACGUCGGCACCUUCAAAACCCAUAAAUCUUGUCGCCAAGGAAAAGGGUUGUGGGGUUAUUCAAUCCGUGGCUUUUGAUGGAGAAAAUAAGGAUAGAGGCAAAAAAUUUCAGAGAAAAAUCGAAACUGAAGAUGCGAAGCAUGAAAUUGACUCAAGAAGUGGAAACAAGGGUUUGAGUUUGGAUGAAGUAAAGUUCAAGGCCACAAAAAGGAAAUUCGAGGAGACGAGUCUUGGUAUCAACAAGGGGAAAAGAAAUAUACAAAUUUUGGAUUUUAAGGAUAUUCCCCAAUCCAAACCAAUUGUUGAUGAAAAUCGAUUCAACAGAGGAGGUUCCAAGAAGUCAAGUUUUACUGUAGUUUGAUGAUGUAAAUUUGAAUAGUCAAUGAUUUUUACUCUCUCUAAUGUAAAGAAUUUUGUGGUUAGUGUUUUGAACUUUCAAAGGUUCAGUUUUCUGUGAUUAAUGUGUUCCAAUCUAUUGAUUUCUUUCUGAACUCU
rnacentral:lncRNA from 1 species